AUUGAACGCUGGCGGCAUGCUUUACACAUGCAAGUCGAACGAUGAAAGCGGGAGCUUGCUCCUGCUGGAUUAGUGGCGAACGGGUGAGUAACACGUGAGCAAUCUGCCCCGAACUCUGGGAUAAGCGUUGGAAACGACGUCUAAUACCGGAUACGACGCGCGAAGGCAUCUUCUGCGCGUGGAAAGAAUUUCGGUUCGGGAUGAGCUCGCGGCCUAUCAGCUAGUUGGUGAGGUAAUGGCUCACCAAGGCGACGACGGGUAGCCGGCCUGAGAGGGUGACCGGCCACACUGGGACUGAGACACGGCCCAGACUCCUACGGGAGGCAGCAGUGGGGAAUAUUGCACAAUGGGCGCAAGCCUGAUGCAGCAACGCCGCGUGAGGGACGACGGCCUUCGGGUUGUAAACCUCUUUUAGUAGGGAAGAAGCGAAAGUGACGGUACCUGCAGAAAAAGCACCGGCUAACUACGUGCCAGCCGCCGCAGUAACAC
rnacentral:rRNA from 1 species